rnacentral:tRNA from 1 species
GAGGGUAUAGCUUAGUGGUAGAGCGCAUGCCUAGCAUGCAUGAGGUCCUGGGUUCAAUCCCCAAACCUCCA